CGACAGAGAAGUGUCAUAACUCUAAUUUCAUCUUCUCUAUCGUUUCUACUUCCAUGUCUUCAUUAAUUUUUUCCUUUCCACUUCCACAUCUUCCAUCAUUCUUCUCCAAAUCCGUUUCAAUAUUCGAGCAUAGAAACUGUAUUUAGAAAAUCUAUACGAGUGGUUGAGAUCGGUUGUCUGAGAAGCUAUGGUUCACUAAACCGUGUUCAUUGAUACUGCAGAGGCCGGAGCCUCCAAAUGCUCACCACGGUUCAGUGAACCAUAGCUUCUCAGGUCAGGUUCAUAUGAAGGAAAUCAAAGGAUGACUUAGCUUCUGCUGUCUUCUCUUCUCUCUCAAAGGGGGACCCAAUACCCUGAAGCGGUCAUAGAAGAACUUGCUCAGUCAUUGAAAGGAGCGCUAAAGGUCAGGCGUAUAUAUUACGAAAUAGCAUAAUCUUCUCUUUUCAAACAACUUGGUUGUGUUUCUCCAAUCCUGCAAUCCUCUCCGAUGCAACAAAUGUGUUUCUCCAAACAUCACCAGUGUCAUUAGCUAACGAUGACAACUACAGUACCAUUUUUUUGGUCUUGGACAGAGAGAUGAUAAAACUCAGCAAAAAAAGGUGCAACCACUCUGGCACUUGCGGAUAUGAGUGGUGAUGGAGGACCGGAGCUACCAAGCUGCCAUGAAGUGCUAAUUGGCAAGGAAUGAGAUUUCAGAAUCAUGUCACUCCAUACAAUUUCAAACAGUUACAUGACAUGCAGGAGGACAAAACCAAUCUCUCAUGACCUCAUCCCUCCGCUUCAAACAAGUAGAAACAGCAUCUGGCUUUUGCUCCAAUCAGAUUCUUCUCAAGUUUCCUUUUCUCGAAUAGCUUUUUUCAAAAUAUACUUUAUGGCCUCCUAAACCUCAAAAACAAUCAAAUUAAAGCUUCCAAAAUGGCCUACUUACAGAUAUGCCAUGAUUAAAAAAAACAAAAAAAAUCCAGAUAGCAAUUUACUAAGACAUCCACUGAAUAAAAUAACAUCCCCUAACUAAUUUAAACAUGAUUGCAAAAAAAAAAGUACUUGCAUUUGUUGUAGCUACAUUAGUUUUCUCUAAUAAAAUGUCUAAAGACAGUGUCUUUACGCAUGACUGCAAAAAGUACUUGCAUUUGUUGUAGUUUCUUCACAUUGUUUAUGGAACUUGAACUUUGAAUAAGGAUUUUAUUUAUUUUUAUUUGUCGAGAAUGUUCAAAUUCACUUCUUCUUACUUUCUUAAACCACUAUAGAUUUUCUCGAGUUCAUGAGUUUGAGAAGCCUAAUGAUGAAGCAGCCCUCAAUCUGAUGUAUUCAUGUUCUUCUGCCGUUUUGGAAGAGUAUCCUGAUAUCAUCUUUGCAUACAGAUUCAGUGAUGAAUACAGCUUUGUAUUCAAGAAAACUUCAAGAUUCAACCAGAGACUAGCUAGGUACAUGUGAAUACAACUUAGAGGGAAUGACUCAGGCUAUUAUAGUUACGAAGGUUUCAGGUAUAACAAUUACGAAGGUUGUCUCUCCUUCAGUCCUGCAACCUUUGACAUCCCCAGUUGGAAUCCCAUUUGCCACCAGUUCUGAAGUGCCUCUAUUUUCUGCAAGUGAUUAGGGUGUAUACUCAAGAGACUGGAGACCUAGAUGUUGAAGAAAACGCCAGCACACGUAAUUGUGACGAAGCACAGAGGAAAACGUGCUAAACUUGAGUAAUAGAGCAUUAACCACUCAUUUUAUAGAUUGCACUCAUGCGUAGGAGUACAACUUAUCUUUUCAAUUUUCAAGCAGAUGAGUUUAUCUAUCUACAAAUUUUAUAUGAUUUAUAAAUCAUUAAAAAUGUACAUUUAUAUAAUUAUAAA